CUCCAAGAAAUGUAUUUGCGGGGCACAGCCUUGGAAGGCCCCAUUCCCACAAUCAUAUCUCACUUAACAAAUCUGAAUGAUCUGAGAAUAUCUGAUUUGCAUGGACCAGUGAUAAUGAGAU